rnacentral:lncRNA from 1 species
UCCCGAACUGACAAAAAUUACUAUAAAACUGUCAUAAAGGUUCCCCCUCUCAGACCCCUCUCCCCCACUUCGUCUCUACACCAAAUCCUAAAAACUCAAGCCGCCCCCAUAUCCUCCGGGGAAAUCCGCCAGCGGCGAUGACGGUAGCUAUGCCAAUGACCACCAAAAAUACACCACUAACUCCCCCCCCCCCCCCCCCCCCCCCCCCCCCCCCCCCCC